UACGUAGGGUGCGAGCGUUGCCCGGAUUUGAUUGGCGUAAAGGGCGCGUAGGCGGCUCCGGCACGUCCGUUGUGAAAUCGCCCGGCUCAACUGGGCGGGGUCAGCGGAUACGGUCGAGCUUGAGCAAGCUAGGGGGUAAGUGGAAUUCCCGGUGUAGUGGUGGAAUGCGUAGAUAGUCGGGAGGAACACCAGUGGCGAAGGCGGUUACCUGGGGCUUUGCUGACGCUGAUGCGCGAAAGCGUGGGGAGCGAUCCGG
rnacentral:rRNA from 1 species